rnacentral:lncRNA from 10 species
ACUGGCCACUGUGCCCGGGUCCCAUCGCCAGCUCCGAGCCCAGCUCCCGUGGCGGGGCGCGCACCCGGCACACCGCGCCUGCCUGGGAUGCAGCUCCGUGGCUAAGAACCCGGUUUCUCGCCAGCGAACUGCUCUCAGAGGCUACCGAGCGUUCCCGCCUCGCCGCAGGAACUCUUCUAGCUCGCCCUCGGGCUCUGGGGACCGCUCCACAGCGGGGCCUCCCGGAAUUCCCUGCCGGUCUCCGCGGGCACACUUGGCUGGCUGCUGCGACCAAAACUACCUUCGCGUGGCAGGGUCCUCCCUCCUCCUCACAGACACCCCGACAUCACCCUCAAAACUGGAAGGGACAACCCCGAGUGAUCUAGGCGAUGGUGGAUACCUGAAAGCCACCCAUGGAAAAGGUGAAGAAAGUGCCCCCUGGUUCUCAGAAGAGCCACUGCUGCUGUUGUGAGCAGAUAUCGGAUGGUGUCUCUGGCUGCAUCAUUCGUCAACCACACAUAUUCAUAUGAGUGUUACCCUCCAGCACUGUGCCUUCCAAAAGCCCCUGGCUGAGGAAGCACUGCUUCUGAGCCACAGAGACAGCUGAUUUAUGGACCAUUUUAUCACCGCUUCUAAACUGUGGCUCUAAACCUAACACAGAGGGUAAUGGUAGUGCUGUAUCCAUUCAUUCACCCAAUAAAUAUUUGCUGAGCACCAUCUGCAUAUCAGGGAAUGUACUAGAUGUAUACAGAGAUGAAAAAGCCAUAGUCCCUGUCGCACACAGCCCAGCAGACAGACACAGAAACAAAAAUAUGAUGUCAUGAGUUAGACGCAAGGAGAGAGAUCUGACAAGUGUACUGUUGGAACAGAUGAGGGGCACUGAACCCCGUGGGAAAGGAGGCUCCAGGCUUAACUUUUUGGAGGAGGUGAAACUUAAGUGAACGUUAAAGAAUGAGAGUCAGCCAGAUAAAGAGUGUGGGAAGUUACUCCAGAAGGAAGGACCAGCACAAGCUAAUGCACAAGGACAGGAAACUGCAUGGUAUACAAAGGAAUGUCUAGCAUCUCAACGUGGCUGGACUAGAAAUCCAAGGCCGGGAGGGGCAAGAGACGGGGCUAGAGAGGUGCAAAGCAGCCAGACCAUGAAGGCCUCAUGUGCCAGGUGGAGUGUGGAUCUAAGGGGAGCAAGGCUGGCUGGAAGCUUUGACACCAGUUGCAAAGCUGUUGCAAUAAUCCAGGUCGAAAUGGAAAAGUGUGGAUAGACCAGAAAUACUUAGGGGAUAAAACUGAAAGACCUAGGAGUCUGGAGAAAAGAUAAGUGUUUUUGUUGAGAGAUCCCAUGCACUUUACCUAUAUUAAGUUCCUCCUAUGAGGUGUUUCUCUGUCUUACAGAGAAAACAAACUGAGGCUCAGAGAGGUAGUAACUAGUCCAAAAUGGCACCAGUACAUGUGACUCCCAGACCUGUGCCUUUAACCCCAGUGGUUCUCAACUCUAGGAUAUUUUAACAGCUCCCCCUCACAAGGGAUAUUUGUUGAUGUCUGGAGUCAUUUUGGGUUAUCACAGCUGGUGGGUUCCUACUGGCAUCCAGUGGAUGCAGGUUGGGAAUGCUGCUAAACGUUCUACAAUGGAUAGGACAGCAUCCCCACAACAAAGAAUUAUCCAGGCCAGGCAUGAUGGCUCAUGCCUGUAAUCCCAACACUUUGGGAAGCUGAGGCAGGUGGAUCGCUUGAGGUCAGGGGUUCGAGACCAGCCUGGGCAAGGUGGCGAAAACCCGUCUUUACCAAAAAUACAAAAAUUAGCUGGCCAUGGUGGUGUGAAUCUGUAUUCUCAGCUACUUGGGGGGCUGAGGCAGGAGGAUUGCUUGAGCCCAGGAGGUCAGGGCUGCAGUGAGCCAUGAUUGCACCAUUGCAUUCCAGCCUGGGUGACAGAGCAACACUCUGUCCAGAAAAAAAAAAAAGAAAGAAAGAAAGAAUUAACCAGCCAAAUAUGAAAGAAAGAAAGAAUUAACCAGCCCAAAAUAUCAAGAGUGCUGAGGUUGAGCAAUCCUGCUUUAAUCAUGAGUUUAUAGUUUAGAUGAUCUGGGGAAUGGUGGCACUAUGACCAAUUAAGAUAGAACAGAAAAGGAAAAUAUUUAGGAACAGAAUCAUGGAUUGAGUUUGAACACAUUGAAUUUGGAGUGCUCUUAGAAUGUCCAGAUUCCAUAGACCAGCAGGCAGUUUGACUGCAUAGCCCUGACCUCAGGCAAAACAGAGUUGAGAGUCAUCUGCAUAUGGAUGAUAUUAACACCAGGAGACCACCCAUGAAGAAUGCCCAGGUGGACAUGAGAAGAGGGCAGAACCCUGGAGAACAACACUUAGAAAGGGACAGCAAAGAACAAGAACCCCUGAAGGAGACAAAGAAAAUGGUCAUCCAGGAACGAGGAGGGCCUGGAGUAUAUGACGUUGAGGAGGUCAAAGGAGUAAGGUUUCAAAGUAAGAGGAAUUGGCAAUAUCAGAUAUAUUCAAAAAGUCUGGAAAAUAAGGCCUAAACAGUGUUCUUGGAUAUGACAGUUGAAAAUUCACUGGUGACCUUGGCCAAUGGAAUUUUGGCAGAGUGGCAAAAGCUGUAAGUUUAAAGAGACAUUAGGAGUGAAUAAAUGGAGACUGAAUAUAGAGGGGAAAAAGAAGUAGCUAAAGGGGCAAUAGCUAGACGCAAGUACUGAGAUCAAAGGAAGAUUUCUUUUAAAACUGGAAA